GAUGAACGCUGGCGGCGUGCCUAAUACAUGCAAGUCGAGCGAACAGACGAGGAGCUUGCUCCUCUGACGUUAGCGGCGGACGGGUGAGUAACACGUGGAUAACCUACCUAUAAGACUGGGAUAACUUCGGGAAACCGGAGCUAAUACCGGAUAAUAUAUUGAGCCGCAUGGUUCAAUAGUGCAAGCCGUUUUUGCUGUCACUUAUAGAUGUUUCCGCGCCGCAUUAGCUAGUUGGUAAGGUAACGGCUUACCAAGGCAACGAUGCGUAGCCGACCUGAGAGGGUGAUCGGCCACACUGGAACUGAGACACGGUCCAGACUCCUACGGGAGGCAGCAGUAGGGAAUCUUGCGCAAAGGGCGAAAGCCUGACGGAGCAACGCCGCGUGAGUGAUGAAGGUCUUCGGAUCGUAAAACUCUGUUAUUAGGGAAGAACAAAUGUGUAAGUAACUAUGCACGUCUUGACGGUACCUAAUCAGAAAGCCACGGCUAACUACGUG
rnacentral:rRNA from 1 species